CUGCAGGAUAUUUUUGUCAUUUGUUAGUAAAGAUGAUGCUGCUUGUCCUGAUGACAUUUUCUCUCUUUAAAGAGAAUGCUGCUGCAGAUUUAAUAACAUCAUUGUUCACAGAGAAACAUGUUUUUGAAGGAGAUGAUGUGACUUUAUCCUGCGACUACAGUGGCAAUGUACAAAAUUUACAGUGGUACCGUCAAUAUCCCGGAUCCAAACCUGAGAAUCUCAUUCUUCACACUGAGGUCAGUGGUCGGUCAGAGCCCAAGAUUCGUCUGUACGCCGUUGCUGAUAAAGCUGUCAAACGUAUGAAUCUGAGUAUCUCUACAACACAAACAGAGGAUUCAGCUGUGUAUUACUGUGCCCUGAGCCCACAGUGACAUGAAACACAAACACACUGUACAAAAACCUGACUGCAGCAAAUAUCAAUGUAGAG